rnacentral:rRNA from 1 species
AAUGAACGCUGGCGGCAUGCCUAACACAUGCAAGUCGAACGGCAGCACAGUAAGAGUGUGCUCUUACGGGUGGCGAGUGGCGGGCGGGUGAGGAAUACAUCGGAAUCUUCUUUUUCGUGGGGGAUAACGUAGGGAAACUUACGCUAAUACCGCAUAUGACCUACGGGUGAAAGCAGGGGAUAUUCUGACCUUGCGCGAUUGAAAGAGCCGAUGUCGGGUUAGCUAGUUGGCGGGGUAAAGGCCCAGCGAGGCGAGGGUCCGUAGCUCGUCUGAGAGGAUGGUCCGCCACUCUAGCACAGACACGCGCUACAGACUCCUGCGGGGGGCCGGAGUGGAGCAUGUUGCACAAUGGGCGAAAGCCUCAUACAGCCAUCCCGCGUGGGUGAAGAAGGCCUUGGGCGUGUAAAGCCCUUUUGUUGGGAAAGCAAAUGUGCAGGUUAAUACCCCGCUAUUCACACUGUCCCCAAAGAAAGCGCCGCCUCACUCUUUG